UACGUAGGGGGCAAGCGUUGUCCGGAAUUAUUGGGCGUAAAGCGCGCGCAGGCGGUCGUUUAAGUUUGGUGUAUAAGCCCGGGGCUCAACCCCGGUUGGCACCGGAAACUGGGCGACUUGAGUGCAGAAGAGGAGAGUGGAAUUCCACGUGUAGCGGUGAAAUGCGUAGAGAUGUGGAGGAACACCAGUGGCGAAGGCGACUCUCUGGACUGUAACUGACGCUGAGGCGCGAAAGCGUGGGGAGCAAACAGG
rnacentral:rRNA from 1 species